rnacentral:rRNA from 1 species
UACGUAGGGUGCAAGCGUUAAUCGGAAUUACUGGGCGUAAAGCGUGCGCAGGCGGUUGGUUAAGACAGAUGUGAAAUCCCCGGGCUCAACCUGGGAACUGCAUUUGUGACUGGCCAGCUAGAGUAUGGCAGAGGGGGGUGGAAUUCCACUGUGUAGCAGUGAAAUGCGUAGAGAUGUGGAGGAACACCGAUGGCGAAGGCAGCCCCCUGGGCCAAUACUGACGCUCAUGCACGAAAGCGUGGGGAGCAAACAGG